GAAGUGUUUACUGAAAGCUGCUUUCACCACUUCUAUCUUGCUGGUAGCUCUGUCCUUACCCUGUAGUAGCAGCAGGUUGGGGACAAGCCCAGGGUGUGCUGAUGCUCUGUGCAGACCCAAGGAACAGAGCUGAUGGUGCUGGCACCAGAUGUGCCACUCCUGGCUGAGCCACAGACUAUCCUGUGGGAUGGUGCUUCAGGUGACUGCAGCUUUUAAGGGAGGAGGAGCCUGCUGGACCCCUCGGCAAUUUGGAUGCUGGGAGAUGCUCUCCUGCUGUCCCCCUCUUCAGAAGGAAAGGAGGAGGUCACAGACUGGAAAAAUAAGGUUUGUUUUGGAUGCCUAGCUUCCUUGAGCAGCAGAAGUGGUGUCACAAUAUUGGUGUAGGUAUGAGACCUGCAGCCCCAGAACUGAGAGCUGUACUUUCAGUGAAGAUGUGAGUAUGGGAUACCCAUCUAAAACCUUGAUCCACCCAGGAUGAAUCCCUGUCACAGCUCUUCUCAGUUUCUUGUCCAGUGAUCUCUGCGAGUAGCACCUGAAGAGCUGCUGGGAUGUGCUGCUUCUUUGCAGCUGUGAAUGCAGGCAGAGAUGUGCUGUGGAAGAGAUGUUUCUGCACAGUUUUUUUUCAUAUCUAAGGCAUGAGGGAUGAUGAAUCACCUGAAUGGAAGAUAAAGUUGGGAAGGAGUCCAGUUGGUCAUCUCAUUUUCUGCUGGCAGUGAUCAUGGGACUUGUACAUUCCCACAGAUUUUCUCCAAGAAAUGAAGUACAUUCACUUAGCAAUUUCAGUCCAUCUGAGUAUUAUGCAUGUUCAUGACUCAAAUGAUGUGUGACCACAUUUUUAUAACAAUAUUUAAUAGACAUUAGACCUAGAAAAGAACUCUGCCUAAUCCUGUUAAAUAACAGCAAGGAUAUUUUUCAGGCUAUAUAUCAAAUGCUUCCCACAAUGGGAAACUUCAUCAUUACUCUGUAAGCCAGAUAAACAAUCAGCCACACUCCAAAAAAGCUUAACUAUAAGGUGUAUGUUGUGAUACACAAAUCAAAAUGUAAUUGCUACCAGCCUGCCUGUUUGCUUGCGGCCACGCAACAUCCCUUUUAGAAGCUCCAUGCAUUAAAAAUGCAAUUAUGGAAACAAUUUAUAAUCAAUAUGUGGUUAUUAGGGCAACCUGCAUGUAUGGGAUAUUUUAUAGCAAUUAUAAUCCUAGCAGUCCUUUCUGAGAAUGAAAUUUGCAUCCAGCUUCUCCCUUUCAGGUUUCAGUCCUAGCACUGCCACCUACUGCUCAGAUAACUUUGAAAACUGUAUUUAUUAUUUGUUAGGGGGAGCUGAGGAAUUUUCAGAGCCCAUCAUUUGCAGAUGGGCUUGAACGCAGGCUUAUAUAGGGUGAGGGUUGAGGGGGGAGACUGUUGCAAAAGCUCAGUGGUCUCUGAUAAAUCUCCCUGCGUUUACAUGGCUGAGACCAGAAGGAAAAAAUACAAGUAUAGAUUCCUCAUUUGUAAUCCCUCAUUACUGAAAAGAGGUGUUAUCCUGAUCACUCCUCGUUUAUAGCACUUCCAUUUAAUAGCUGGUGGGGGGGUGUCUGAGCUACAAUGAAUGCUGAAGAGUUAUACUGGCUUCUGUAAGCUGAACUUCUGGCCCAGAAUUGUCCAGACAAAAAGUAUGCAGAAGUACUUUUUCAUUUCAGAGACAAAAGAGAAAAAAAAAAAGGCUUUUGCCAACCACGCCCACAGUCUUGCUUAUUUCUUUGUGAUGGGGAGGUUCAGUCUUCCAAGAAUAAUUAAGUUUGUUAAUGAAGAACGUUAAGGGCAAGUGAACCUGGUUCUUAGUAUCUCUGGUGCAAGGGCUGAUUGGAUUCUGGCACUUUGCCAGCUUUGCCAGGCCACUGCUGUCAAGGCAAGGUACCAAGGAUAGGCUUUAAGAUCCUCAAAACAAGGAAAAUGUGUAAAAUCGUGGCUGUUAGAAUUGAUCUGCGGCUUUGGGGAGGAUUAAAAUGCAUCUUUCUCUGGUGGUACCACCAGAGGGGUUUUGUGCCUUGCUCUUCCCCAGCACCAAUCUCCUUUCCAUUAAAGUAGCCUGUGGGGGGUGUGGGCAACCUCUGUGGGGUGUCUUUUUCUGAGCCAAAAGGAAAGUUGUCUGGCCAACAAGCUUCAGUUGCAGGGAAGAAGGGUAUGAAAUGUUGUACUGGAUUGGCUGAGGUUUGGGAUUGCUUCCAGCUGGAGAUUUAUUACAGCAUAAGGGGUGAAAGGAAGCAAACACUUUUUUUGGCUGAAAAUGACGAUUUUGCCAACUGUUUUGUUAUUAAAAUAAACUCAGAAAUAGAAG
rnacentral:lncRNA from 7 species